rnacentral:tRNA from 1 species
CGGGGUGUAGGUCAGCUCGGCAGACCGCCUGGAUGGGGUCCAGGAAGUCGGCAGUUCGAAUCUGCCCACCCCGA